rnacentral:lncRNA from 10 species
UUGAAUUUAUUGAAUUCUUUGUUCAGCACCUCAGAUGAUAGGAUUUUUCUCCUUUGACCUAUUGAUAUAAUGGGUUAAUUAAAAUAUUUCUUAAUAUUACACCAUGCUCUCAUGACUAGAAAACUACCAGGAUAUGAUGGAUUUUUAUAUACUGUGGAGGGUUAAUUAAAAUAUUUCCUAAUAUUACAUCAUGCUCUCAUGACUAGGAAACUACCAGGAUAUGAUAGAUUUUUAUAUACAGUUUAAUUUUAUGGACCCAAAUUUUAUUAAUAAAAAAUUAAAUAUAAGUUAAUAAGUGAGAGAGAUCCACAUCUUUCUUUGUGUGUAGUGAACUAUCUUUGCCAGGUUUUGGAAUCAGAGUUUAGACUUCCUUCAUUAAACAAAUUUGGAAGAUCUCUGUCUUUGCUUCUAGCUUCUAAACUUUUUUAUUGGCUUAGGGAUUUGUGAUUCUUGAAAAGAACUGAAAGAUCGUAUUCAACUCUCCUUGUACUUUUAUCAGUAAUUUUGGUUCCCAAUCCUAGUGGAAGAGUAACACCAUUUUUUCUGAUAAAGGCAUGGCUAUUCAAAAAUGUGUAGAGGGAGAGAGGUAUACAUAACAGCAGAUGGAUUUGUGAGACUGUGCCAGUCAACCACUUACUUAGUGCAUGACUUUCAGCAAGUUACCUAAUCUUUUAAGCUUUAGUGUCUUCAUCAGGGAAAUGGGAAUAUAGUCCCUUCCCUUGCAUUGUUUCCUCUAAAUUUUGUGAAGUACAAUUUAAAAAUUAUUACUUAAGCCAAUUAAUGUUCAAACAGUAGCAUUUGGAUCAAGAGUAAAAUGUGCACGUUAAUUUAUAAACAGUCACAACUAACAUUAACAAGUAAGUGGUAAUAACUGUUUUAGGAAUUGUAUGUAUUUUUGAGCAUUUAUUUAAUCUUGAAAUUAAACUUGGUAUUUCUACGUAUUUUUCUAUGUAGAAUUUAUAUAGAUUAUUUCUACAUAAAAUGCAUCACUUAUUCUUUAAUUUUCUCAAAAUAAUAUACAUACAUGAUCUUAAAAGUUCUUAAAGAAUAACACUAGCCUUUAAUGAAACCAGAAAUCAUUUGAAUCUAAAUCCAUACUCGCCCCCACUCCUGCUCUGGCUCCCUGAGAAAACUUCUUUCAACUAUUUUUUCUGCUUCUCAGGCAUUUACCAUGAUAUUUCUAAAUCAUAGGCUUAUAGUGAUUGUAGUAUAUUGCAAAAAUGGUCACAAGCGAGACUUCUGGUUUCAGCUCUUUCAUGUAAAGAAGCUGGAAAUUGUCACCCCACCCCCUUCUUCCAACAAGAAAAAGAUGAACAAACUGAAUCAAUGGCUUUAAAAAAAUACUUAUCAGAGAAAUGAGGCUGCAGGGUAAGCCACUACUCUGAAAGACAGAUCCAGGGCGUCACUUAAAUGGCAAAUUUGCUGAAUUGCUUCCGGCUGAAUGCGGACUAGCAUGAGAGUAAGGGGGCCUCUACAUGUUCAUGGUCUUUACCUUUAGGAAAAUGUUGCCUUGUCCAGGAAGUGAGGGGUGACGCCGUACACCCGGUGUCAGACAGCUGUGUGGCAACUCUUCACCCCACACCUGCUGCAGAAACUACGCAGCGCCGGUGUGUGUUGGGUCGGUGAUAAUGCUUUGAUGCUCUCUGCGCCCUGGAGGAGCGUGAAGCCGGAGGUUGCUAAGUGGAAGUGCAGGUGCUGCUGCUUCUUGCACAAACUGCAGUUGUAAUCCAGGAUUCACGGGCCUGUAGGGGCUCAGACUUCAAAUUGAACCGCGCCUCGGCGGCAGCCACAGGUGUAAUACACGAGGCCCAGGUACCAGAAGGUGUCCAGCAGGGCCUUGGCGGCGCCCUAGCAGCUGAGGUCCAGCCGCUGCGCGCCCAGGUUCAUCUCAUUAGUGGACGCCGCGGGCCCGCGAGUUCGGAGCAGCGCGUGUAUCUGUGGGUCUUUGGGGCUGGCCUCGCUAGCCUACCAGCUUCCUUUCGGUGAUGCUCUUUGCUACCGCCAGGCUCCUGACCCCAGCUUGGACAGCAGGCCGCCGAGCGCCCCUGACGCCCGUUACCGAGAUGGCUGCGCAGAAGGAGUGGCUGUGGGGCUGUGAUCUCUCCUAGAACCUCAGAGGCAUGAAGCUAGAAUAUCUUCCCCUUCAAGGAGAAUAAGCCAAGCUAUGGUUGUUGCGGCCUUUGUUGAUGACAUUCAGCAUUGACUUCUUGGGUAAGGUAUUCAGUAGUUAAGAUUCAAUGACUCCAGUGAAAGGUAUGUUUCCAUCGUGAUGUUCUUCUUCUGGACAAUAAGUGAAAAGAGCAUGUGAGUACCUCUCUCACUCCCAGCAAAUAAUUGUUGUGUCACCUCCACAUGUUUCUUCACGAUUCGAGGCUUUGAUUUCCCCUGCAAGACAAAAUGCAAUGAAGUGAUACAGAAAAAAAGAAAUUCUAUGCUGUCAUCACACUAGACCAUGAUGUUGAUUUAUGGAUGGUCUGCUUUCUUAUAUGCACUUAAUAUUUUUGUACAAGCAAACCUGAAAAGUGUCAAAAUCCCCUUUAACAGAUUAACAGGCUGAGAUGGGUUAAAGUGAGCAAGCCGGGAAGUGGUGGAGCUGGGAUCCACACCCUGGUCUGUCUGAGUCCAGAUGUAAUCAUCUUGCAUUCACUAUGGCAUGUUUCCCUUAUGUUAAGGGUUGCUGACAUAGACAGUGCAUGUCAUUCCUUUUGGUAUGGUCUUCCUCCUUUCUAGCUUUUUUCUGCCUGGAAGAUCCAGGCACCCAAGAGAAUGGAGCUUCCAUGUAAAUUUGCAGAAUCCCUAGGAUGAAAGCGGAGAGGAUCUACCCUGAAACCAACAAGUCUAGGAUGCACAUCUCUGCCUUUUUUUCAGAAUUAGGAAGGGGCAGGCAGAUGGGCAAUUGACAGGAAUAGUAGAAGCAUCCUCGGGGAAGUUGGCUACUUUACUUAGUGAGAAAGCAAUGGAAAGUGACAUUUGUAACUGAGUUUUAAGUGAAGUACAGUCCUAAGAGAGGAGCUCUGAAAAACAGCUGUUACCUGAGAUUGGGAAUGUUAAAGACCUUCUCAGAGCCUGACUGUACUCACAGCUGGACCUAGCUAUCAGAAGAGGGACUGCAACAUACCUGAGAAACUUUCAGAAUACUUAACGGAAGCAGAGUCAGGGGAAGUGAUUUUGAUAGUAGUCCAUGAGAAAAAAAUACGGUGUUUUAAAAUGCAAAUGAACUAAAAUUUAAAUCCUGCUCUCUCAGUAGCUAUGCAGCCUUAGGCGAGUUAAUAUCUUUGACCUUAGUAUUUCUCAGGUGUAAAGAGGGAUAAUUACCUACUCAGAACUUCACCUCUCCCAAGAAAGCUUUCCUGACCAUGUGCUGGCCCUUCCUUUACAUUGGGAUUAAAGUACCCCCCCCCGUUUUUCCAGGCUUUCUUGACUUUAAUUCUGUCAUAGCUCUAAUUAAGAACCUCUGUAAUGAUCUGUCUGCAAGCUUGUGAGAAAUUUGAGGACUGGGAACCAGCCUGAAACAUGUCUGUUCCCCUCUGAGUCAACACAGUGCCUGGGAUCUGGUGUCCAGUAGGGAUUUAAAGCAUAUUGAUUGAAUGAGAAAUGAUGACAGGAUCUACAUGGAUCACAAAGGAUAGUUGUUAUUUUACCUGUUAACUAUUUAAUAGCGAAAUUAAAUGAAAUAUGAAUUAACCUAGGACCAGGGAAGGUGGGGUAAGUUGUGUCUUUCACAUCAACCUUCAUAUGUUCCCCAAUUUUUUCUUCCUUCAUGUACCUAGGACACUCUUGUUCAAACACAAAGGUGGUUUUAUUUUGGGUCUAUACUAGCUAGUUCCCUAGAAAGGUCUUAAAUACAAAAUGAAUGGAAUACAAAAUAACCUCCCUCAUUGUUUUUUUUCCCGGACAAAUGACAGGAUGCAUACAGAACUGCUACUUUUGUGAUGUUGCAAGUAAUGGUAUAGAUGUGCACAAAUCAUGGAUGUGGUCCCAGUGAUCCAUGGAAAUGUGAAGUCCAGGUGAGCACCGCCUCUCUCAUAAAGAUGCAGCACACCUUGAUUUCUCCCACUUCUUUGCUCAGUACCUGAUCCUGCCUCACUGCUGUCACCCUCCUUUUCCCUUUUCUCUACACUGCGGAGACUUCUAAUUCAGACACCAAACCCUUUCUAGUGUCCCUGUGUUUAUGUAUCAGAGUAAAAUGUUAAAUGCUUCCAAAACAUACGAGGCCCUACAACAUCUGGCCAAUUUCCUCCUCAAAGUUGCCCCUACUACUCCCCAUGGGCCACACAUCUCUAGUGGACCUGGACUCUGCAGCUUCUGGGUUGUGUCA